rnacentral:rRNA from 1 species
UAGCGGCGAGCGAACGGGGAGCAGCCCAGAGCCUGAAUCAGUGUGUGUGUUAGUGGAAGCGUCUGGAAAGGCGUGCGAUACAGGGUGACAGCCCCGUACACAAAAAUGCACAUACUGUGAGCUCGAUGAGUAGGGCGGGACACGUGGUAUCCUGUCUGAAUAUGGGGGGACCAUCCUCCAAGGCUAAAUACUCCUGACUGACCGAUAGUGAACCAGUACCGUGAGGGAAAGGCGAAAAGAACCCCGGCGAGGGGAGUGAAAAAGAACCUGAAACCGUGUACGUACAAGCAGUGGGAGCACGCUUAGGCGUGUGACUGCGUACCUUUUGUAUAAUGGGUCAGCGACUUAUAUUCUGUAGCAAGGUUAACCGAAUAGGGGAGCCGAAGGGAAACCGAGUCUUAACUGGGCGUUAAGUUGCAGGGUAUAGACCCGAAACCCGGUGAUCUAGCCAUGGGCAGGUUGAAGGUUGGGUAACACUAACUGGAGGACCGAACCGACUAAUGUUGAAAAAUUAGCGGAUGACUUGUGGCUGGGGGUGAAAGGCCAAUCAAACCGGGAGAUAGCUGGUUCUCCCCGAAAGCUAUUUAGGUAGCGCCUCGUGAAUUCAUCUCCGGGGGUAGAGCACUGUUUCGGCAAGGGGGUCAUCCCGACUUACCAACCCGAUGCAAACUGCGAAUACCGGAGAAUGUUAUCACGGGAGACACACGGCGGGUGCUAACGUCCGUCGUGAAGAGGGAAACAACCCAGACCGCCAGCUAAGGUCCCAAAGUCAUGGUUAAGUGGGAAACGAUGUGGGAAGGCCCAGACAGCCAGGAUGUUGGCUUAGAAGCAGCCAUCAUUUAAAGAAAGCGUAAUAGCUCACUGGUCGAGUCGGCCUGCGCGGAAGAUGUAACGGGGCUAAACCAUGCACCGAAGCUGCGGCAGCGACGCUUAUGCGUUGUUGGGUAGGGGAGCGUUCUGUAAGCCUGUGAAGGUGUACUGUGAGGUAUGCUGGAGGUAUCAGAAGUGCGAAUGCUGACAUAAGUAACGAUAAAGCGGGUGAAAAGCCCGCUCGCCGGAAGACCAAGGGUUCCUGUCCAACGUUAAUCGGGGCAGGGUGAGUCGACCCCUA